UCUAAUUAUUCUCAAUAUUAAUUGCAGGACAACAUUGGAAUUGUGAUUAGGACUUCAAGAGGGCAGAAACAUCAUUUAAUUUCGUUUUGUAAUGUAAAUUACUUUAAUUUUGGGGUCAAGAUUUUAGGAAAAGCCCAUAGUAAGGACAUUUUCGUAAUUUUGGGGUUUUAAAACCCCAAAUCAGAUUUUAUUUAUUUCCCUCCCUAAUUUUCACUUUUCCUCUUCUUAGAUGUAAAGCUUGGGACGUUUUCCACCCUGCCCCCCUCCCCUCCCCCUCUCGUGGGGGUUUUAGGUUUGCUUUCAAUUCACUUUUUAUGUAUUGAAUCCUCUUUUUAAUUUCAAUUACAUUUCCGUUUUGUGUUCUUCUUUUAUUCUUGCUUUUCAAUUUCACUACUGCCUAAUUUCGUUUCCCAGGUUUAUUUUCGUUUUGUUAGUUUGGGUGCAAAUUUAUUUACAUUUUUAUGAGAUUAUGUUAUCUUCUU
rnacentral:lncRNA from 1 species